rnacentral:rRNA from 1 species
UACGUAGGGUGCGAGCGUUAAUCGGAAUUACUGGGCGUAAAGCGUGCGCAGGCGGCGCGUUAAGACAGGUGUGAAAGCCCCCGAGCUUAACUUGGGAAUUGCGCUUGUGACUGGCGUGCUGGAGUGUGGCAGAGGGGAGGUGGAAUUCCACGUGUAGCAGUGAAAAUGCGUAGAGAUGUGGAGGAACACCGAUGGCGAAGGCAGCCCUCCUGGGCCAGCACUGACGCUCAUGCACGAAAGCGUGGGGAGCAAACAGG